rnacentral:snRNA from 1 species
UUAUGCGUUCUCAACAAAA